rnacentral:lncRNA from 1 species
AAAAAAAUGGUUUCCAUUUCUACGAUUGUGAAAAUGAACUGCCGUAAUGGGGAGAUAAUUUUGACGAAGUAGAAUCCUGACUGUAUUGUAUAUUUACAGGUCAGGAAACAUGUGAGAAUAUUUUUCUUUCAUUGACCAAUAAAUGUAUUUUUACAGGUGAGGAAACAUGUGAGAAUAUUUGUCAUGUGAUGUUUUAAAAUUAAGUGUCCUUAACCUCAAACGUAACGUCCAAUAAAAUUUAGGUAUGAUGUAUACAAGCUGAAGCCCUGCC